UUCAAGGUUCACUGACGACAGCGGGGAUUACGUCGAUUCUACCGACACCCUCGGGCUGUGCUUCGGAAAGCACUGCCACCCUCACCGGCCCCACCGUGGCACCGCCUCCCGCGGGAAGCCCUCCCUGAGCUCCCGCUGCCGGGACACCUGCUCACAAGACCCCAUGAGAUCAAGACCACGUGGUAACCUGCCCCACUUGUGGUCCCCAAGGGUCCUUGUCCCUGCUUCCCCAACGACCGUGGCUUCCGGAUGUGCAACGCCUGUGCCCUAGAUUCUCCAGCUACUUGAUAAGCGUCUUUCAACAAAAGGUGAACGGAGAAACGCUCAUGACAGCCCGGGAACCCGAUGUGUAUAAUGUCGGCGUGGCCACGGUGAGCCCCGUGUGCUUGCUUAUUAAGACGUACGCUGAGGAGGUAAUUGUCUGCCCCACAGUUACAAAUGACCAUCUCUAUUUCACUUCUCGCCAUAUAGAAAAAUGGAAAUGCAGCACGUGAUUUAGGUAAUGAGCAAUGAAUGAGUGGCUUUCUCGGGGAGGACGGUGCUUCCCACCGUCGGCAGCUCUCGGACUGACGUGCUGUGAGGAACACGCCUCUAUCCUGGCGCUCCCGCGGGUCGGGCUCGACGAGGAGGCGGUGAGGGGCGGGGGGAGGUCUUCUGUCCUCGGGAAGCAAUAACCCCUCUUCCCAAAGCGCUCUAGGAAGUUCUCUCCCAGUGUGCUCCAGAGAUCACUAUCCCUUGCUAUGCACUCUGGGGCCGGCUCCCUCCUCCGCAGACGCGCGGGGCCACGGCUCUGCUCUGGAGAAAGUUAAGCACUUUCAAAGCCUCUGAGUUUCCGCUCCAAAGGCUGAUUACAAAAAGAACCCACACUCUCUGUAUUUCAUGCUCCCCAUUCCGUAGUCCAGAGAGGCUUCCUCUUGUGCUAACUGGAAGCUUCCCUUUCACAGCCCCUCUCUCUGCUGGUCCCUCCACUCCGUGGCUGUGCCAGCUUAUCUCCCCAAAUCACAUACACGUGCCUCAAUCCUGCCAGGCUGUCUCCUUCCAACUGUGGACAUCAUUCUGCCGAUCCACCGAUCGAUUUCCUGGGUGUUCUAAGUAAUCUGACCUCGAUACAGCCGCGUUUGAGAGGAGGAACACCCCAGUCCCCCUACUUCUCCGCCUUCUUAACUCCUCUCAAAAAGAUGUCAAUUAAGUGAGGCGAA